UAACCCUAGCAUAAUCGUACCAGAGGGGGGAUGAUGUUCCUCGGUACAAAAUGCGAUGUCAACGGCCACGCAUUGCUGCGGCUCUGAUUUUUAUAAAUGUACAAAAAUAGCAAUAGUCAAUCGUUGGUUACAGAUAUACAUUAAAUUUCCCCUCUGCAUUCCCAACCUUUUACCUAAAACAGUGGCCCACCCACAUGCAGUGUUGC